CCUACGGGCGGCAGCAGUGGGGAAUAUUGCACAAUGGGGGAAACCCUGAUGCAGCGACGCCGCGUGAAGGAAGAAGUACUUCGGUAUGUAAAGCCCUAUCAGCAGGGAAGAAAAUGACGGUACCUGACCAAGAAGCCCCGGCUAAAUACGUGCCAGCAGCCGCGGUAAUACGUAGGGGGCAAGCGUUAUCCGGAUUUACUGGGUGUAAAGGGAGCGUAGGCGGUUUAGCAAGUCAGGAGUGAAAGCCCGGGGCCCAACUCCGGGACUGCUUUUGAAACUGUUGGACUAGAGUGCAGGAGAGGUAAGCGGAAUUCCUAGUGUAGCGGUGAAAUGCGUAGAUAUUAGGAGGAACACCGGUGGCGAAGGCGGCUUACUGGACUGUAAAUGACGCUGAGGCUCGAAAGCGUGGGGAGCGAACAGGAUUAGAUACCCCUGUAGUC
rnacentral:rRNA from 1 species